GGUCACAGAUCCCUUUGUUGUGGAGUUUCUCUUGUAUGCCUAGGUAUUUGGAAAUAGACACUUUACAACUGAGCUUGACAGUGAGAACUGCAGGAAAUAUUUAGGAGAUGGGCAGAUACAUAGCUGCAUCCCUAGUUUACCCUGGACUGUGUUAAGAGCACUUUCAAAGCAACUGAUUGAACUCGAGGUGUUCUGUUCCUUCAAACACGGAUGUAAACUAUUUUCCUGAGAUAAUUAGCUCUGAUAUUUCUCCUCCUAAGGAUAGCUUGAAAGCAUAGUCACGACUAUUUUCACCAGCAAUGAACAACAGCUGCCUGCAUGACCUGCUCAUAAAAAUUUGCACUGCUGAAGGUGAACUACUGUUUCACACCUGCUAUGACAACAUCAAUUCUAGGAAAAUGUUUACCCGCAUAGCCCAUUUUUCAUCGGCCCAAAGGGGUGGAAGUCAGAAGGUACCGAAUCAGGACUAUAAGGUUUGAUUUUAUGCAUAUUUAUGAAAUUACCUGUGGAACAAAACUUGCAAAUGUCCUGAAGUUUUUGACAAAUAACAAUACAUCAAAGCAGGUAUCCCUUUCUCCUCCAAAUCUUCUGCAAAAAAAUAGCACUUCUAUAAAGUUACCCUUCUCUAUGGUUCUGAUAGUAUGUAGAAAAAUACAAGUCAAUGUUCAACUAUCUGGAACCUCAGUAGAUUUUAAUAAAAUGUGGAAGCUUUUUCUGUCAUCUUGUAACUCAGGGUGUAUCUGUACACUUAUGGUGGCAGCGCUAUAAAAAAAGUUAAGAAAGUGGAAGGAAUGACUGUUUAUGCUUGUGAUGAACAAUGCUUCAGAAACUGCAAGUUUUGGGAAAGUGGAAAUAACAUUUUCUUCCCUCCUUGGUUUUUAGUCUUGUUUCAGUCACUCUGGAGUUAAAGGAAAGUUGGGUGAGAGCAACAUACAUCUUCUUGCUUGUAUUAUUUUACUCUUCUGUUUCCUUGGAGCCUUUAGCAGAAUACUGAUGGAGAUGUCAAAUGUUUCUGUAAUGUAUAUGAAGGACAGAACUAACAAAAGGGAUGGCUACUAGAUGCAUGAGAAAUUCCUCCUCCUCUUCACUGUAAAACAGUCUUGUUUAUCUUGGUAGUGUUCUAGUUUCAGAGACAGACCCUAUUAUGGAGAGAGAUUUAUUAUUACUUAGCUAUGUGUUGUAUCAAAUAAUUGAUGCAAUUUAAACCAAAAACCUAGUUCAUAGAAAGCAGUGAUUAUUCACUUUAAAUUAUCAGACAUUAAUCACAUUAUGCCUGAUGUUGGAUUUUUAUAUAUUCUGUUUUUAUGUGAUCAACAAGAAUAAAACAAAAUACAGCUUCUUCUG
ensembl:lncRNA